AACGCGAAGAACCUUACCAGGGCUUGACAUGCUAGUGUAAGCAGCGGAAACGUUGCCCCCUUCGGGCACUAGCACAGGUGCUGCAUGGCUGUCGUCAGCUCGUGUCGUGAGAUGUUGGGUUAAGUCCCGCAACGAGCGCAACCCUCGUGGUUAGUUGUAUUCUCUAGCCAGACUGCCCAUACAAGUGGGAGGAAGGUGGGGAUGACGUCAAGUCAGCAUGGCCCUUACGUCCUGGGCUACACACACGCUACAAUGGUCGGUACAAUAGGCAGCAACUUAGCGAUAAGAAGCGAAUCCAAAACGCCGGCCUCAGUUCAGAUUGCAGGCUGCAACUCGCCUGCAUGAAGUCGGAGUUGCUAGUAAACGCGCGUCAGCAUAGUGCGUUGAAUAGUUCCCGGGUCUUGUACACACCG
rnacentral:rRNA from 1 species